GAACCUAGGAGAGCGCAGAUCCAGCGCGCGGGGCUCGGGGCUGACUCCGGGACCCUGGCAUCCCCUCGCCCGGAGUGUCCCUGUGUCGUCUGCGGCCACUAGGGGGGAGGGUCUAGGUCUGGGCACCCUGUCCCCCAAGCUAGGAGAGCCUGACGCCUUGAACUGUCCCCUCCCUGAGACACGCACACCCUCCCCUGGGCCAUUUUCGGCCGCCACCACCUUUCCUGGGUCUCGGGCCCCUCUCUCCUGGGCAUUGCCCCCUUGGCCUCCCUCCGCUUGGUAAAAAGUGAGUUUGGUGUGUGUCGUUCGCGUGGCUGUCAUUAAGGCAGUCUGUUAUUGUGCGAGGCUGAAUCAGUGGCUCUUUGUGCGCUCAGCUGUAUGGUAAUGCAGACAGCACCUGCUCGCCGCACAAUGCCGGGAGAAAGAGCCCCCUCCGCGCGCCGCGGCCUCUGCGACAAUGUCCGGCACAUGUUCCAAAGACCCCUCCAGCCUGGCCCCCCAGCACACAACCUUUACACAACCGUCACCUUAUUAGGUUUUUACAUGUCCGUCAGACACUGGAACUCUUGUUUUCAUUUUUUUCUGGGAAAUGAGUUUAUUAGGAGGCCCAAGAACAUGUAUCACAGUGAAUUAUCUCAACUGCUCUCCUGCUUACAGGCUCAGGAAGACACCUUGCUUCAUUAAAAUGCAAGGCGAGAGCCCAGCGCGGCCCCCAGAGGGGCCCUGGCAGAGUCCUGCUGUAGAUGUCUCAGCCCUCACAGGAGACAACUACACUGUCCCGCAGAGUGUCACCGUCAUCCAAGGCCCAUGUCUCCAUCACAGUGUCUACGAUGCACUUCUGAAAAAGGGAACCCCUCAAACACCCAGGACACCAUUGGCAUCGGUGAUCAUUUUUAAAAGCCAUCUGGGGUGGUCCCUCUGGUUAUCUACAACUGGGAUCAGGAUUCCAGGGCUCCUUUUCGGGUGGUCCAGUCUGUAUUCUGCUACCAUGUCUCACAAAUACCUUUAAAGUUUCAGGAUCAAUAGAGGUGUGCACUUAAAUU
rnacentral:lncRNA from 1 species